UACAAUGGGAAGAUGGGGGAGGCAGCACACUGGGGUCAGGAGUGGAGAUACUUAGGCUCCCCAGAGAAAUUAGUCACAAGUCUUAUCCCUUCAUCUCCAUUUACAGCCAUUUAUUUGGGAGCAACAUACUUUAAAUGAGUGAUAAACAAAAUGUCUCCCCACAGCCCCCACCCCAGCAUGUGUUCUGAAGUUCACAGGAAGGCUUCUCCUCAUUUGCUUUGGGGCCCGCAGGCUGCCUGCUAACAGCUGGGUCUUCCCAUGAACAAAUUAGACAGUUAAUGUUCCAGGAUGAAGAGGGCUUCGGGGAACAGAAUCUGCCGUUUAUUUGACUUGCUUCAUUAGACACAGUGCCAUCAUACCAAAAUUAGAAAAAAGAAGGAACUCAGCGGAAAUCAGCUACACAAGAAGAACCUCUCAGUUCUGAGAAUUCACAUUAACCAGUGAUUAAGAAAUAUUAAAAAGGGCUGAUAGUCCACUACGUUAUCAAGUUCAAAGCCUAAGAAAUAUUGAACAUUUCCACACAUGAAUGUGGGUACUAUGUUUAAUUUGAGAAUGGCCAACUGUCCUCGAAGUCUCAAUCUCUUUGGAGCCUACCAGCUCCGAGAGAAGUUUGAGGAUGCUGCAAAACCCUCCCCUGCAAAUCCAUCUACUCCUCCCACUUCUAUCCUAAUGGGUAUAGUUCUUGGCUGUGCUGAGGAUCUGUAAGGCACCAGAUGUGAAAGUAAGGAAGAAAGAUGGAUGUGGAAGAAAGUCACUGCCCAGAGAAUAAGGAGACCUGGAUUCUAAUCUCAGCUCUGCCAUUAACUAGCUAUGAAACUAUGGCUCAAAAGGGAAUAAGAGAUCAAGGCAAGCAUGGACAUCUUGUACGUGGAAGUGCAGACCAGAACUUGUAUCACAGCCAGUCAUAUCUGGUUUUCUUUUGCUUGGGCUCUCUCCCAACCAAAAGCCAUGGAACAUACUCGCCCCAAGGCACCAUCAAUGUGUCCUAAACACUACUACUCCCCCAGCUGGGCUGGAGAUAGCUCCAUCCAGCAGACCCUGCCCUGGCAGAGGUGCAGCCAGGGAACUCUCACCUAAUUAAAGGACAAUCCGGCAGCUCCUACAACGUCACUUGAGUCUGGAUGGAGAGAAGACAGGAAACACAGGAUUCCAAAAUUACAGCCUGAGGCUUUUAUUCCAGAGUCCCUUUCAAAGGCAUGGAUGUCUAUUUGGGUACAUGUGGUGGUCAUCAGAGAAGAGUCAGAAGGCUCAGACCCCUCGGGAAUGGGCAAAGCAAAGAAAGACACAAUAAGCCUGGCAAGACCUCGUAUCUCAGCUUAGAAUGUUUUUUUUCACUCAGUCUCAUGAACAGAUUUAGAAAUACCAUCUGCAGCUCUCCUCCAAGGUUUCUCAAAGGUCCUUGGAGUUAUCUGGGGACAAAAAUGCCAAUUUUGUAAAUAAAGAAACUGAAGCCAAUAAGAA
ensembl:lncRNA novel transcript